UCCGUAGGUGAACCUGCGGAAGGAUCAUUAAUGGGUAUUCUCUGGCCGUACCCCGGCCUGACCCACCCCCUGCGUACACCACCGGUUGCUUCGGCGGGCCGCCGGGCCCGUCCCGGCCGCCGUCCUCGGACGGCGAGCGCCCGCCGGAAGACUGCGAAACCCACGUUUUAGCGGUGACGUCCGAGCCACAUGAUAAUAGCACAAAACUUUCAACAACGGAUCUCUUGGUUCCGGCAUCGAUGAAGAACGCAGCGAAAUGCGAUAAGUAAUGUGAAUUGCAGAAUUCAGUGAAUCAUCGAGUCUUUGAACGCACAUUGCGCCCCUUGGCAUUCCGAGGGGCACGCCUGUUCGAGCGUCAUUUCAACCCUCAAGCCCGGCUUGGUGUUGGACCGGCCGCGGCGCCCCCGGGCGCGGCGGCGGCCCCAAUGGUGUUGGCGGCGCGGCCCGGCCCGAAGCGUGACGAACUCACUGCGGACGGACGGGCGCGCCAGCCGGACAGACCACCCAUCUUCCAGGUUGACCUCGGAUCAGGCGGGGAUACCCGCUGAACUUAAGCAUAUCAAUAAGCGGAGGA
rnacentral:rRNA from 1 species